rnacentral:lncRNA from 1 species
CUGAUCUGAGACCCGAGCGGGUCCGGAUCUAGAAUUCUAAAUGUCACCGUCUGGGUUGGAUCCGACAUGAUUGUCACAGGUCUCGGGUAUGUGUAAUUUUAACUGACUUGUCCGGAAGGGUCCCGUACAGAUCCGAACACGACUGCUGCAGUAGAGAGAACUUGUAUAAUUUAUAUUGCUGCUCUUGCUUUUCACAAGUGUAGUGUAGCAGUGGCGGUUGGUGAUGUUUAAGAUGGAGGACGACACAUUAAAUACAGCCUUGCACACUCUUGCCUGCAUCUAGCUGAUAUAGGGUGUUAUUAGUCCAACUGUUGAAAAACACGUUUAUAUUGGCAAAAUUCAGGUAUGUUUAUCCCUGUUUCAUUCCAUUUGCUUCCGUUUUUAAAUGUUUUUCAACAGAAUCAGCGUCAUGAAUACACCCCUGAUCACACAAACAGCUUACUUUCAUAGCAGCCACACUAUUCAUUCUUGCGUCUAUGGGCUCCUCCUUUUCCCUUCGCUUGUGGACUUCAAUGAACAACACAGCAGCUGUAUGUGACCAGCAUGUCGUGGGCGGAGCCGGAAGGGUCGUCAGCGAAAUGGGACACCUGUGCUCGGGUGUGUUCCAGGAUAAAUGCACCUCUUCCCUAUUUCCCUAUUCAUUGAGGAGACUCCAUGCACACACAGAUUUUGGUUGUUUGCGUUGGCACCUUUCAACACCCCUCAUUAUUACAUUUAUGUUCGCAACCACUCACUUACACUACUGACUACACACACA